UGUUGAUUUUAGAGUCUCUUCCACAAAGAACCGAACAGUGCAGCUCAGAUUCUGGAAGCUUCCAUGUUUCUGCUUCAUAACGGCAGUUAAUAACAACAAACCUGAAUCCUGCUUCUUAUUUUAAGAAGGAGGGGAGCAGGAGCAGAGCCCUCAGAAGGAUCCUACACGCCAGCUGAAUAUUUUAUGCUUGACCGUGCGUACAGACUGGAACCUGUCGGUAAGUGAAAGCUCUGACUGAAUACAGUCAGUGGAGACAGAAGAAAGGAGCUGACACAGCUGUCUGCAUAGCUAACAGUAAACCAAGUAAGACCUUUGUUCCUGGAAGCUGACAUCGUCUCCAAGCAACUUUACAGAAUCCAGGACCGACAGACCAAAAACCUCCUGUUGAGCAGCCGAGGGCGACAGUGGCAGAAAAAACUCCCUUAAAAAUACAGGAAGGAACCCUGAGAGGACUCGGCAGGAACCCCCAUUCAUCUCAGGUGGCCUGGAGGAUCAUUUGAAUAAAUAGAAUUUACACAAUUCAUACAAACACAAAACUGAAUUUAACUAAAAGUUAUAACUAGCAAAAACACGCCAGGUUUCCAUCACAACUAGCAGGAGCAGUGGCAGUCCGGACUUGCAGUCUUUAACCUCGGGAGGGUAACCAGGUUCGCGUCAGAACCACCUGGGGGUAAAACAUCAGAAAAUGGAGUUAAAAUGUGAAAUCGUUAAGAGUAAAAUAUCAGUUCUGCAGAGAGUAGCAUGAGACUCCGGCUGUAAGGGAGAGCGAGCAGGUAACAAGGUCAUGAGGGUUUUCACGGGACAUCAGCGCCCACCUCCCCCACCUUCAUCAAACCUGAGUGAUCGGACAAGACAGACAGAACGACAGCAACCCAACAUCCCUGGUCAGCACAAGUUUCUAAGACCUAAAAUCCCUAAGCUCUGAGCCUUUGUCUAUAAUCAGGGUGGGUAGCUCCGGUCCUAGAGGUCAAAGAUCAUGUGCAGCCAGAAGCCAACACACAGCUGAUGAUUGUUGAUUGCUUUUUUAAACCUUUAUAGUAACACUAAAUGCACAAAACCAUACAACUGCUGCGUUCUCUUUACUGGUUUCCUGUAG